rnacentral:rRNA from 1 species
GAUGAACGCUGGCGGCGUGCCUAAUACAUGCAAGUCGAGCGAACAGACGAGGAGCUUGCUCCUCUGACGUUAGCGGCGGACGGGUGAGUAACACGUGGAUAACCUACCUAUAAGACUGGGAUAACUUCGGGAAACCGGAGCUAAUACCGGAUAAUAUAUUGAACCGCAUGGUUCAAUAGUGAAAGACGGUUUUGCUGUCACUUAUAGAUGGAUCUGCGCCGCAUUAGCUGGUUGGUAAGGUAACGGCUUACCAAGGCAACGAUGCGUAGCCGACCUGAGAGGGUGAUCGGCCGCACUGGAACUGAGACACGCUCCAGACUCCUACGGGAGGCCGCAGAAGGGAAUCUGACGCAAUGGGGGAGAGCCUGACGCAACGGGGCCGCGUGAGAGAUGGAGGUCUUCGGUUCGUAAUACUCUGUUAUUAGGGAAGAACAAAUUUGUAAGUAACUAUGCACGUCUUGACGGUAACGGAUCAGAAAGCAACGGCUAACUACGUG